GCGGGCGUAGCUCAGGGGUAGAGCGCAACCUUGCCAAGGUUGAAGUCGAGAGUUCGAAUCUCUUCGCCCGCU
rnacentral:tRNA from 1 species